GUCAGCAGAAAAAGCCUAUUGCACCAGACCAGGACCCCAACCCACAAAUGCAGCAUAAACCUUGCCUGGCACCAACUCCAGUGAGGAAGGAACUUUGAAUAGCAAGCAGAGAUAGAGGAUUCUGGACCUCUCAGCCCAGGAACACCAGAGGAUUCAGAAGGUCAGUGGAGAGGGACUAUGGCAAUGGAGUGUAAGUCUGGUGUACAGUCCUAGCGAAGCCUGGUCAGCUGAGCCCCAGCCCAGCCAGCAUACUAGAUCAUCUAUCUACUGUAGGACAAGGACAAUCUAACAGCUCUAGGACCAAAAAAAGUGCUUGUGAUCAAACCCCUAGAUGGAUUUCUGAAAACAGUCGCACAAACCCCCAGAAGCUUGGGACAAUGCCCCCUCUACUCUGGAAACAGAGUCCCACUUUAACAGAGAGUUAAAAGCUGAGUAAUAGGCUAGGAAAAUAAGCAUUAAACAAAGUUUCUGAUCAUUGAAAGUUAUGGUGACAAAGAAGAUCAAUACUACACUCUCAGAAGAUGGUAACAAAGUCAAAGCCCCUACAUCCAAAGUCUCCAAGAAAAAUAAGAAUUGGGCUCAGGCCAUGGAAGAGCUCAAAAGAGACUUUGGAAAUCGAGUAAGAUAGAGGAAAAAUCAGGGAAAGGACUGAGAGGCCUGCAAAAGAAAAUACAAAAAGCUAAUGAGCAGAAAAAUGUCUUAAAAAGCAAAUUGGUCAACUGGGAAAGAAGGUACAAAAACUGAGGAAAAUAAUUCCUUUAAAAAAAAAAUAGAAUUGAGCUGACGGAAACGAAUGACUUCAAGAGAAAUCAAGAUACAAUAAAGCAAACUAAAAAGAUGAAAAAAAUAGAAAAAAGUGAAAUAUCUCACUGGAAAAAUAACUGACAUGGAAAAUAGAUCCAGUGAAGAUAAUUUAAAAAUUAUUGGUUUAUAGCAAAAGUCAUGAUCAAAGAAAAAGAGCCUGGACCUGACCUUUCAAGAAAUUAUCAAAGAAAAUUGUCCUGAUAUUUCAGAACCAAGAGGAUAAAAUGAAAAUUUAAAGAAUCCAGUGAUCAUCUCCUGAGAUUCCCCCCCCCCCCAAAAAAAAAAAAAAAAAAAAAAAAACACCUCUCAGGAAUACUAUAGCUAAAUUCUGGAACUCCCAGGUCAAGGAGAAAAUAUUGCAAGCAUCCAGAAGGAAACAAUUCAAGUACAGUGGUGCCAUGGUCAGGAUAACACAAGAUUUAAAGGAUUGGAGAGUUUGGAAUAUAAUAUUCCAGAGACCAAUGGAGCAGACUACCACCAAGAAUGACCUAAUCAGCAAAAUCAAGUAUAAUCCUUCAGAGGAAAAGGUGGUCAUUAAAUGAAACAGAGGAUUUUCAAGCAUGGAAAAUUUUAUUUUCAAAUACAUGACUCUGGAAAAAGCAUAAGGAGAUAAUUAGGAAAGUGAUAACAUAACUCAUUAGAACUUUCUCAUUAUUACAACAGUUAGAAGGAAUACACACACAAACACACACAGAAAAUGUGAGCUGGAUAUGAAGGGAUAAUAUCAAAUUAUGAUGCAAUUAAGAGAGGAAUGUAUUGGGAGAAAGGAAAGGAAGAAGUGGAAUGAUACAAUUAUCUUCCAUAAAUAGAGAAGGAAAAAGCUUUUACAGUAGAGGGGAAGAGGAGAACAGGAUGAGUCAGUGAACCUUACUUUCAUCAUAAUUGGCUCGAAAAGGAAAUAACAUGCAUACUUAACAGGAGUAAAGAAAUCUAUUUUACCUUACAGGAAAAUAAGAGGAGAAGGGAGAGAGAGUGACAAAAGAGAGUAUAUUUGGGGAGAGAAUGGUCAGUAGCAAAACAUUUUGAGGAGGAACGGGGGAAAAGGAGAGAAAAUAAAUGGGGGGAAAUACAGUUAUCAAUAGUAAUUGUAAAAAAAAUUUUUUGAAGCAAAUUUCUCUGAUGGAAUGUUACUGUUCUCUGGGAAAUGAUGAGCAGGAUGCUCUCAGAGGGGGGGAAAAACCUUGAAAAAUCCUCCAUGAACAAAGUAAAAUAUACUGUAUACAAAGUAAUAGCAACAUUCUGGGAUUACCAGCUGUAAAGGACUUUGUUUUUCUCAGUAGUACAAUCAUCUACAACUAUUCUGAAGGACUUAUGACGAAAAAUCUUGUCCAUACUCAGAGAAGGAAUUGAUUGUGUUUGAAUACAGAUCGAAGCGUUUCAUAUAAAUUUGCAUGUGAUUUCUUAAUUGUGAGUGGGGAUAAGGGAGAGAUUCUACAACUCAAAAAAUUUAAAAACAAAUGUAAAAAAUUGGUUUUCAAUGUAACUGGGGGGAAAAUAUUAAAUAAACAAAUUUUUAGAAAAAGGAAACUAUAGCAGCCUUUUUUUUUUUUUUUUUUUUUUUUUUGUGGCAGCAAAGAAUUGAAAAUUGAAGGAAUGUCAACCCACUGGAAAUGGUUGAACAACUUGUGGUAUAUGAUUGUGAUGGAAUACUAAAUAUAAUGCUACAAGAAAUGAUGAACAGGAUUAUUUUCAGAAAAACCUGGAAAGACUUACAAGAAAUGAUACUAAGUGAAGUGAGCAGAACCAGAACAUCUACACAGACUAACAAAUAUAGUACAAUAAAGAACUGCAAAUGAUUUGACUAUUCUCAGCAAUACAAUGAUUCAAGACAAUUCUUCAGGACAUGAAAAAUGCUGUCCAUCUUCAGAGAAAUAACUGCUAAGAGUCUGGAUACAGAUUGAAGCAAACUUUAUUUUCCUUGUUAUUGUUUGGUUGGGGGAGGGAGGAAGUUUCCUGUCUUUUCUUAUGUAACAUAAUAAAUAUGAAAGUAUUUUGUAUGACUGCAUAUAUAUAAUCUAUGUCAAACUGCAUGACUUCUCAAUAAGAGAGGGAAAAAAAGAGAGGAAAGGAAGAAAAGAAUUUGGAAUUCAAAAAAAUUUUAAAUGAAUGCUAAAAACUUGUGUGUGUGUGUGUGUGUGUGUGUGUGUGUUUUAAUACGAUUUGGGAUGGGGCUAGAAAAUUAUUUUAGGGCUUUAAGUUGCCCACAUUUUUAAAUUCCAAAGAAUUUGUAUUUAACCUCAGAGAUGUUUGUGCGUUACUAGGAUUUACUAAGUAGAGGGAUGAAAUAGUCACAUCAGCAUUUUUGAAAAAACACUUUACUAGUUGUGUGGAACAUGUAUUGGAAUGAAGAGAGACUUAAGAGAAGAUUAAUUAGAAAAACAUCGCAGUAGUUCAGGUAAAAGACAAUGGAAUCUGAACAAAGAUAGUAGUGAUAUGAUUGAAGAAGACACAUAAUGCAACAAAGUUCUUUACAAGAUCUAGCAACUGAAUAUCUGUACAUGUGGGGUGAGAAAGAAUAAAGAACUGAAGAUGAUACUGUAAAGGGAAGUAAAAGGCUGGAAAAGGUCAGAUAAUGAAAGGCUCUAAAAGACAUGAUUUUAUUUGAGCUUGAAGUAAUAGGGAACCACUGGAGUUUAUUUAAAGGGAGAGAAGAGACACAGGCAGAGCAACUGACAUGGUCAAAACUUUGAUUUAGGAAAAUCACCACAACAGGUGAAUGGAGGACUGAUUGGGGUGAGGAGAAAACUUAAAACAGAAAGACCUAUCAAGCAAGAGCUAUUGUAAUAUUCCAGGUGGCAGGUGAUCAGGUUCUAAACCAAGAUAAUGGCAGAAGGUAUAUAUAACAGAAAUUUAAAAAGUAGAAACAAGACAACCAAUGUAGGUGAUCAACUGUAGUUGAUAUUAUGGAGCCUGUAAGGUAUUUAUACAUAAUAUGGUUCUGAAAUAUUCAGGCCUUCUACGAGGAAUUAUGGUACUGAGUGAUACACUGAGCUUCUAAGAAUUUGAAUGUCAAUUCUAUGAACUUUGCUACAAUUUUUGUAACAUUUGUUUCAACAGCUUAGAGCAAAAACUGCUCAAAACAACUGCCUGGUACUAUUCUACACUAAGCAUAGUAAAGUAUCCACCAUAUAGUGGAUCAAAAUCAAGUUACACAUUAAGUGCUAAACAAAUGCAACAAAUUACAAGAGAAGCAUGACCAAAUUAGAACUACGUCCUCCAAAAAGAACACUGAGAAAAAUGUCAUGAUGGGUAUGGAGGGUAAAUAGUUAUGUUCACCAGAUCUAGGAUAGAAAAACAGACAUUGUCUAUUUUUAAUAUAUAGUACCUGGGAAAAGUCAUAACUUUGUUCAAAUUCUUAAUUUUUAAGAGCUGUAGGAUUUUCAACUAUCCAUUUUCUUUCACAAUCAACUAUUCACAUUCUUUUAUCUAAGGUGUAAAUAUAUAGACAUACAUAGCAUCUGAAUUUACUACCAAAUAUUUCAGUUGAUGUCUGAUUUCGCCUUAAUUUUAAGCAUGAUUAACACCAUUAAAACAAGUAAUUAAUAUAGCAUAAUUUCUCUUAAAGUUCUUUGAACUUAUGAAUUAAUAUUUUAGAAAUAUACAGGCAUCAAUCAUCUAAUGACUAAUCAAAAUUCAGCACCUACUAGAGGGGAUACAAAUAAAGUGAGUAAAAUUACUCCUUAUAAGGAAUCUACUGGAGGGAAACAACUAGGACAUUAGUACUUACAGAAUAAAUAUGAAGUUCCAGAGGAGGGAAUUAACAGUUGAAAAGAACAGGAAAGCCUUCAUACAAAAAAUAGUGCUUGAGCUGUAUCCUAAGAGAAGAUUGCAUAUAGGGACAAUUCCAGUCUGGAAUUGUCUCCAGAUGGCUCCAGAGGAGAAAGUGAGGCCAAACUUUGCAAAGUCCUCCCUCACUUAAAUCCAAUUUACUUGCAUGUUGUCACAGUAUCACCUCCUGAUGUCAAGGCCCUCUUCCAGAAGGACAAACAACAUAAGAGAUAUAUUCUAGAGUUAUUUCUAAUGGACCUGGAAUUUACAUUGGAGGAAGGGUUGUAUAGGAUUUCAAAAGCUAAAGAAAAGAUUUGCUUAUAAUUCCUGAAGUAAUAAGAGGCUAGAGAAAUUGAUAUGCAAGUGAUGAGGUCUUAUUUUUCACUUCAGGAAAAUCACUUUAGCAAUAUGAUAGAGGAUGAGAUAGAGUGGAGAAAAGCUAAGGCAAGGAAUACAAUUAGUAGGUUGUUGGAAUAAUAUAGGUGAGGGAUGAUGAAGAUUUGAAUUAAGGUAAUAGUUGUAUAAAUAGAGAAGAUAGGAAAAAGGUGAGUUGGAAAGGUGUUGUGAAGAUACAAAUAGCAAGAUCUGGCAUUUGAAAAGUUGGGUGGGGGGGUUCAGUGAAGGAAAGUAAAAGAAUCAGUGAAUCAGGUUUCAGCAGUUUUUUUAGAUAGAAAUGUGUGGGAGAAGUUUUUUUUUUUUUUUUUUUUUUUUUUUC